UUGAAGAAGCUCGAAAAUCAUACAAUACCUAUGACACUUUUUUUGUUUGUCUUCUUACCCAUGUGUACAUAGUUGUACACAUAUUGAUUUUCAAUGUGCACAUAGUUGUACACCUGUUUAUUGAUAAUUUACGUUGAUCGGGAUACACAUAGUUCUACAAAUGAAGGACUUUCUAUAAUAUUAAGAAUUAGCUUACUAUGUAACCUUUACGGGGAUACCUUCAUAUACCAUCAUCGUUAGUCCCCGGAUUCUUAAUCAUAAUGUGAGAAGUUCUAUAAUAUAAAUUCUUACAUUUUGGGUAUAAACUGUACUGCUUGCUGGUCUAAAUUCUUGCACCUCAGGCAUAUAUUCAUCUACUAUAACUAUAGGUUUAAAAGACUGAAUACUACUUUAAAUUACCCUUUAUGUUUUAUUUUCAUGUAAAUAAAACUAUGUUACGUUGAGUUUUUGUUUACUUACAUCGUUGUUGCUUCAUGUAAAAUAUUCUUCUAAUUUCAUGUAUUCUAAACAGGUUCUAUCAUCUCACAUUUUGUUAGUUUGUGUAGGUUGGACCUAAUUCAAGUUUCCUACAUGUGAGGAUGGUGGAAUCACCCAAGGAGGCUGCUAACAAUUGCAAAUAGUGAAAGUUCGAUACUAGGGAUGAACACAUUGAUGCACAAGUGUAUUUUUCCAUGAAAAAGUAAAUUUGUGGGUGGUAGUGAAUAAACGGUCUCAUACAUGUUUUGAAGGGGUGUACAUAUUGGUGGACAGUGUAAUUCUCAUGGAAAAGUAGGUCACGUGGUGGAUAUGGACGACCUGGACAAAGUGGUGCACAAGUGAAAAACUUACUGCAUAAGCUUUUAAAAGUUUCGUGCAUGUGCACUUUUUUUGUACAUAUCAAAAUAAAUUUUUUGAUAUGGGUACUUUUUUUGUAGCUAUCGAAAAGAGCUUUCUGAAUAUAUAAAGUUUGUGAAUUUUGGAUGAACGGUUCGAAAAAUAAAUCAUUUUAAAAUUAUUUUUAUAUUA